GAUCAUGGCUCAGAACGAACGCUGGCGGCGCGCUUAAGCAUGCAAGUCGAACGGCAAGAGGUAGCAAUACCUCCUAGAGUGGCGGACUGGUGAGUAACACGUGGGUGACAUACCCUUCAGAUGGGGAUAGCUAUUAGAAAUAGUAGAUAAUACCGAAUACGAGCACAGGGGUUAGAGAUCUGUGAGGAAAGGAGCUAAGGCUCCGCUGAAGGAAUGGCCUGCGGCCCAUUAGCUAGUUGGUGAGGUAAGAGCCCACCAAGGCGAUGAUGGGUAUCCGGCCUUAGAGGGUGAACGGACACAUUGGGACUGAGAUACGGCCCAGACUCCUACGGGAGGCAGCAGCUAAGAAUAUUCCGCAAUGGACGAAAGUCUGACGGAGCGACGCCGCCGUGGAUGAAGAAGGCCGGAAGGUUGUAAAAUCCUUUUGAAACUGAAGAAUAAGCGUUGUAGGGAAUGACAGCGUGGUGACAGUAGGUUUUGAAUAAGCAACGGCUAAUUACGUGCCAGCCGCCGC
rnacentral:rRNA from 1 species